UCGAUAAUCCGUAUAAAUAUUGGUUUUUUGCUUAGUGUCAAUUUAAUACCGUAUUCUAUCUUAAGUGAUAUAAUGAAGUUCACAGCUCUAUUUUUGGCUAUAGUUUUGACAUUGGCCCUUUUGAUGGUCAGUGAGGCAGAAGCAGGAGGUGACUUCAAGAAAUGUGAAGAAAACCUAUUAAUUUAAUGUAAUUUGUCAAUUAAUUAGGAAAGCGCAAGCUCAAAAAGACAUUGGAGUUCUAGAAGCGGAAGUAUAUGAAUUAUCUCAACAGAUGAGCAACGCAGAGACAGCUGAAAGGAAAAAAGAGUUGGUGCAAGAAAAGAAAUUGUACAUGGUAAUUGGAGGAUUGAAAUAGUAUAAUUCCCAGUAAUCGACAGACGAAUGAAGGUCAAAUAUGCAAAACCAUAGAAAAAUUAUAUUUUGUUUAAUCGCUUGAUUUCCAAUAUUCAAAAUGUUAAAAUUUCCAAAUAAUAAUAAAUGAAUGUGGUUGAAAAGUGUA